rnacentral:rRNA from 1 species
GUGGAUUAGAUACCCUGGUAGUCCACGCCGUAAACGAUGAGUGCUAGACGUUGGGCAGCCUAGCUGUUCAGUGUCGCAGCUAACGCAUUAAGCACUCCGCCUGGGGAGUACGGCCGCAAGGUUGAAACUCAAAGGAAUUGACGGGGGCCCGCACAAGCGGUGGAGCAUGUGGUUCAAUUCGACGCAACGCGAAGAACCUUACCAACCCUUGACAUGCCAGGACGGUUUCCGGAGACGGACUCCUUCCCGCAAGGGACCUGGACACAGGUGCUGCACGGCUGUCGCCAGCU